UUGCUUUUGAGUUAUGGCAAUAUGCGCCACUUUUUAAAUAGUAGAAUUAGGUUUAUUUCCUUAUCAUAUAUAUAUGAUAAGUUAGCUGCAACUUUGGCAGAAUAUCACAAAUCAAACGGCACCUUGGAGAGCAGAAUUCUGGACGCAAGUUUUGGAGCAAUUCAAACUUUAAUUAGAGAAAUUCUCGCCAGUCCUUUGGGAGACGAUUUUGCUUACUGCUGUCUGCGCAGUGUGGGCAUACCGGCUGACUGCCGGAUAUAUUUGGUGUAAAACGACGCACCA